UCCUGGGUGUAGGCUGAUCUAACUUUGGGAGAAACUUAGUUUACAAUUUACAACAAAGAUGAUAACAGCCCUCUCCCAAAACAAAUCCCCUUCUUUCCUGGGAACUAGACUGCCUUUGUAGGACUAACGAAUUAGCCAAAAGAUUAGAAAUUAUAGUUUAGGAGUCAUACAGCUGGAGGCUACAAGAUUCUGAAUCUCCUCAAAUUUCUCUUGGGGAUAACAUGACUCUUACAAAGCCUAAGAUCAGUGUUUGAGAUAUUUUGCAGACUCUGCACUCGAUGGAUCAGCUGGCACCACUCAGAUCGAUAAACUGGCUCAUCUGAACUUGUAGCCCUCACCCAGGAACCGACUCAGUGCAAGACAGCUUCGACUCCCUGUGAUUUCAUCUCCGACCAAAUCAGUCAGCAUCCACAAAUCAUUGGCUGCCACCCACUCACCAAAUUAUCCUUAAAACAUCUGAUCCUCAAAUGCUCGGGGAGACUGAUCUGAGUAAUAACAAAACUCAGUUCUCCCUCACAGCCAGCUCUGUGUGAAUUACUUUCUUUAUCACAAUUCCCCUGUCUUGAUAAAUCAGCUCUGUCUAGGGAGUGGGCAAGGUGAACCCACUGGGCAGUUACUCAACCACAUACCAAGUGCCAGAGGCUGGACCUGGACCUGUGAUACUAUGCUCUAAUAAGAUACUGCUUUGGGGGCUACCACUGGGCUCAGUUCAUCAUCACCCAUCUUGAUCCAUCUGAUUUUUUUCAGGGGUGAUAGCAGUAAACUGAAUGGGAAUAUGAUAGGAACCACCACUCCUGCAUUCUUUAAAUAUUGAAAAAUGGUAUUAAUUUCUGCAAUUCCACCCAGGAUAUAAUAUUGCUCUGAUUUAUUGUCUUGGCUUGGAGAAACAAUCUCGGGGAUGAUAGGAUUUUAGAAUAGCAGAAGCCAACUAGUUGCUUUAACCAAUUGGCUCUUCCUACCAUAAGGGUUCUUACUCACAGGUCAGUGAAACAAUAUGAGCAUUCUUCCAAUUGCAAAGAAUAUCAAUCCCAGUUAUGCCCAAGAGGACUGGGGAAAUGAUCACAGGUUGGGUCUCUGGACCCAUUGUACAUAUUGUAACAUAGAUCUAGGCUAAGACUCCACAUGUCUCCUCUGUAAUCAUGGAGCCAAGAAAGCAUUUUCAGAUCCCCUGAUAUCAGCAUCAGUUCAGAUCCUAUGUCCAAAAGCUCUCAAAAGUCUUCCUCUUUCUAUAGCAUACAAUUACUCUGUUAAACAGCUACAGUUUCCUUUGAGUUAGGAUUGAUAUAUUGUAUAUGCUUGCAGUGACAUUGAGGGGUCUUUCAUUAGGCAGACACAGCCUCUCCAAUUGGUGGUCUCUGAUCAAAAGAAUUAACUAAGCUGGAAACUGGACCAGAGAUUGCAGGUUUCCACUAUGGUAGCUGAUAUCAGUUUUCUUCACAGCAACUCUUGAUUUUUUUUUUUCUGAUUGUAUAAGCCAAGCAAUGUGCUAGCUCACUCUUUAUCUCAUUUGCCCCAAGGAAAAUAUAGUCUAUUAGACACUGCCACAGAUAUGUGCAGGACUCAGUGCCCCAGAUGCAACUCUGGUCUUUCUACCUGGCAUGAUAAUUACAUCCACCAUGAUACUGAUGGUUAAAUGUUACUACCCUGACCUCUGCUAUUCUGGAAUUCCAUCAUCACAAUUGACACUAUAGAACCCAGUUCCAUACAGAACGGAGCCUUAGGCAUCCAGCCGUUGGGGUGUGCCACUCAGAUCUCCUUUAAAGGAAGAAAUUGCCAUGAGGAAUGUAGUUAUCUGACAGCCUCCAGCUGCCUCAACUUUGAGGUCUUUCGCAGCAUUCACUCAAAGGCCACAUAGUCCUGGUCAAAGACUAAACAUGGCAAAGUUUCUAGAGCUGGUCCAUUCUUGCUCAUCAUAGGAUUCCUCUAAUGGGAAAUCUUUCCCCAAGGGUUCCGCAUUAGCCUAACCAAGACUUUCUCUGAGACUCUUAGUUAUUAUGAUGCUACUUCCACCAGCACCAGGGUUCUUGUUGCUAUCUGGCUGUUGAGUGAUUCAGUCCCACUGAGCAAUGUCAACCUGAUUGUCUUUCUUUGUUUUUAAGAAACAGGGUCUUGCUCUGCUGCCCAGGCUGGAGCACAGUAGUGUGAUCAUAGCUCACUACAGCCUUCAACUCCUGGGCCUUAGCAAUCCUCCUGCCUCAGCCUCCCAAGGAGCUAUGGCUGCAGGUAUCCGCCACCACUCAUUGACAGCCACUUCCAGUACUCACUGUCUUGGACACAGACUUGAGUAAAAGUACAGGUAAUUUAUUUGGGAAAUGAUCUCAGGAAGCAGGUAAUGAAGUAAGAGAGAUAAAUGAAAGGUUCUGUCUGGAAGUUCUGAAGGAGAAACUAUCCCAUGUCCCUCUCCUAGCUUGUAGUGGCUGCAGGCAAUCCUUGGUGAUCUUUGGCUUAUGGAUCCAUCACUUCAAUCUCUGCCUCUGUCUUCACAUGGCUUCUUCCCUGUGUAUGUCUGUGUCUCUGUGUCCAAGUUUCCAUCUUCCUUUAAGGCACCAGUUAUUGGAUUAGGGACCAUUCUAAUUCAGUAUGGCCUUAUCUUAACUUGAUUACAUCUGCAAAGACUCUAUUUCCAAAUAAAGUUACAUUCUGAGGUUUCUGGUAGACAUGGAUUUGGGGAAACACUAUUCAACCCAGUACAGGCUCCAAAGACAAAUAACUAAUUGCAUAGUUCUGUCCUUUUGGCCACACGGAAAUGUGGCUUCAGGGACCAACAGAGUAACUGUUAUUAUACAUAUUAUCUUGUUAUAAUAAUGGUUAUUAUGCACAUUUAUAAUGAUUUACAUCACUGGAUAACUGAACAGUCAAAGUGUUCUCCUAACAUGUGCCAGAGCCAAAGUAUAACGGUAAACCGGGCCAAGAGCAUUCUUUAGUUCAGUGAUUUCCAAACCCUUUACCCACAGAAUCCUUUGUUCAAAUGACAUUUCAUUAGGGGUGUUCAGACAAACAUAAUGGAUAAAAACUGUUCUUGCAGAAACAGGGCCGGUAGGACCAGAGGCUCCCCCUCCUGGGUCAGAUUAUGCAGUAAGGAGCUUCACAGAAUACGACUGGAAAUCCACAUACCCACUUUUCUGUUUAAUUCAGGAAGCAGUUGCUAAACACAACUAACAGAGCAAAGGGCAAGAGGCCUGGAUGAAGAAAUACCCUCAGAAACUCCCACUCUUCUGGUUCCUGCUGAAGACUCCAGUAAUAAAAGUUAUUCAUACCUACCUCCACCAUCUUGGCUGGGAAGUCAAGGAAGAAGAUAGCAGCCCGCAACCCGGAAGAGGGCCCUCACCAGAACCUACCAUGCUGGCACCCAGACCUCAGACUUCCAGCCUCCAGAAAUGAGCUCCCUCUGCUGCAGGAACUCAACGAUAGGGAGGAAGAGUCCAGAAAAGUAGGGCUGUCAGCACCUCUGUGAGCAGCCGACGAUCCACAGCGGAUGGAGUUUGGUGGUAAAGGUACUCACUUCCUGUCUCUCUGGUGAUGAUUUUGAGCAUGUUCUACAAAGUCUUUCAGAUGGUCCCAGUAGGUUGGAGCCCAGCUGCCCUCAGUGGUAACCUGCCCAUUAACGUAUCCUGUGUUGGUUUCCUUUCCUCCCCUACCUCACCUCCCCACUCCCCUUUCUAUGAUUCCUAGAGUCACCUCCCAAAUAAACUUUCACAUUUACAUUAUUGUCUCAUGGUCUCUUCUGAGGGAACUCAAACUAAAACAAAAUGCUUAUUGAAUUAAAUCCUCAGUUGCAGAUGAGAGGUUCAGGGACCAUGCCAGAUGCUGAAGGCACCAAGAUGGAUAGUGAUGAGCCUUCUCAUUCAGCCCUUACUCAGCACUGCCUCUGGCUACCAAGCACUGUGCUCCUAUCAUGUACCAGCCCCUGGGACUCUCCGUUUACAUGCAUCUUGGCUAACCCUUUCCACCACCCUGCCCAGUAGCUAUCAUUAUGCUCAAAUUGCAAACGGGGAAAUUGAUGCUCAGAGGGUUUUCCAAAGUCACACAGUCAUAGAAAUGCCAUCUUUGGUUAGGGAGCAGUGCCUCACACCUGAAGUUUCAGCACUUUGGGAGGCCA
rnacentral:lncRNA from 1 species